AGGAUGGUGCGUAAGGGAUGGUCGGGAUAGCUCAGCUGGU
rnacentral:tRNA from 1 species